rnacentral:rRNA from 1 species
UGCCUUGUGCGUAGCACAAGGACUGAGGAACCAAACAACUGAGCGACUAAGUUUCUUAGUUCUCGCGCUGCGCGCGAGGUUGUAUGUGGGAGCGCCGGAGCUUAACGGAUAAAAGUUACCCCGGGGAUAACAGGCUAGUCGCGCCCGAGCGUCCAUAGCGACGGCGCGGUUCGGCACCUCGAUGUUGGCUCACCGCAUCCUGGGGGCGUAGAAGUUCCCAAGGGUUGGUCUGUUCGCCCAUUAAAGCGGUGCGUUAGCUGAGUUCAGACCGUCGCAAGACAGGUCGGUCUCUAUCCGGUGCAGGCUUCACCCCGGUAGAUGGUUACCAUCUAACGGGGCAGGACCUGAGGGGGCCCUUCUUCAGUACGAGAGGACCAAGAAGGACAAACCUCUAGUGUACCAGUUAUCGGAGAUUAGAGUUCAGAAGUUAGGGUCGGAGAAAUAAAGUUUCCCUCCGAUUUCCAAUUUCUGACUUCUGACCUCCGGUAUUGCUGGGUAGCUACGUUUGGAAAUGUCGCUUUCGCGACGGAGGUCGGAGAUCAGAGUUCAGAAGUCAGUGUGGGGCUUGACGGUGUUCGCCGUCUUUUCCUAUCUGAUUUCCGAUUUCCGAUCUCUGACUUCCGAAGCGUAGCGAUUGGAUAAGCGCUGAAAGCAUCUAAGCGCGAAGCCAUCCCCAAGAUAGGUUUUAGACCCGUGGGAGAAUACCACGUAACGCCUUGUGCUUCGCACGAGGACUUAAGUUUCUUAGUUCUCGUGCGGAGCGCGAGGUUAUAGGCGGUAGAUGUAAGCGCGGCAACGCGUUCAGUCAAGCCGUACUAAUCAGUCGCAAACGCUUUGUAA